rnacentral:rRNA from 1 species
AUUGAACGCUGGCGGCAUGCCUUACACAUGCAAGUCGAACGGCAGCACGGGGGCAACCCUGGUGGCGAGUGGCGAACGGGUGAGUAAAGCAUCGGAACGUGCCCUGGAGUGGGGGAUAACGUAGCGAAAGUUACGCUAAUACCGCAUAUUCUGUGAGCAGGAAAGCAGGGGAUCGCAAGACCUUGCGCUCUGGGAGCGGCCGAUGUCGGAUUAGCUAGUUGGUGGGGUAAAGGCCCUACCAAGGCGACGAUCCGUAGCGGGUCUGAGAGGAUGAUCCGCCACACUGGGACUGAGACACGGCCCAGACUCCUACGGGAGGCAGCAGUGGGGAAUUUUGGACAAUGGGCGAAAGCCUGAUCCAGCCAUGCCGCGUGAGUGAAGAAGGCCUCGGUUGUAAG